CUGGAGGUAUCAGAAGUGCGAAUGCUGACAUAAGUAACGAUAAAGCGGGUGAAAAGCCCGCUCGCCGGAAGACCAAGGGUUCCUGUCCAACGUUAAUCGGGGCAGGGUGAGUCGACCCCUAAGGCGAGGCCGAAAGGCGUAGUCGAUGGGAAACAGGUUAAUAUUCCUGUACUUGGUGUUACUGCGAAGGGGGGACGGAGAAGGCUAUGUUGGCCGGGCGACGGUUGUCCCGGUUUAAGCGUGUAGGCUGGUUUUCCAGGCAAAUCCGGAAAAUCAAGGCUGAGGCGUGAUGACGAGGCACUACGGUGCUGAAGCAACAAAUGCCCUGCUUCCAGGAAAAGCCUCUAAGCAUCAGGUAACAUCAAAUCGUACCCCAAACCGACACAGGUGGUCAGGUAGAGAAUACCAAGGCGCUUGAGAGAACUCGGGUGAAGGAACUAGGCAAAAUGGUGCCGUAACUUCGGGAGAAGGCACGCUGAUAUGUAGGUGAGGUCCCUCGCGGAUGGAGCUGAAAUCAGUCGAAGAUACCAGCUGGCUGCAACUGUUUAUUAAAAACACAGCACUGUGCAAACACGAAAGUGGACGUAUACGGUGUGACGCCUGCCCGGUGCCGGAAGGUUAAUU
rnacentral:rRNA from 1 species